GGUUGAUCCUGCCAGUAGUCAUAUGCUUGUCUCAAAGACUAAGCCAUGCAUGUCCAAGUAUAAACUGGGUUAUACUACAGUGAAACUGCGAAUGGCUCAUUAUAUCAGUUAUAAUUUAUUUGGUGGUACCUUACUACUUGGAUAACCGUGGUAAUUCUAGAGCUAAUACAUGCACAAAACUCCAGAUGGAGUUGUAUUUAUUAGGUAAAAACCAGUGACAGGCCUUGUUGCUUGUCUUUAGGUGAUUCAUAAUAACUUCUCGGAUCGUAUGACUGUAAGUCGACGACGCACC
rnacentral:rRNA from 1 species